UUAAAGAACCUAAAUCAGACAUUAAAGUUUCUAAUUGUUGAAUACCAGUACCAAUAAUUUGGAAUGAAAACUUCCCGUCUUCUGCAAUAUCGCUUAGUACAAUAUCGAGAUAGAUAGGCUCUUUAACGGUAUUUUCACUUUCCUUCUCGGUACUAGCAGCUUUCUUUUCAGGGGGAACGUAAUCGUGCCACAUGCCAACCUUUUGCUCCUUAGCAGCAGCUUCGGUAUCAUGAUAUUGCGAGUAUUGUACGUUUGAUUGACUGGCAUAACCUUGGCACCAAGCAAGACCUUGACUGAGCAAUUUCAAAGCAAAGUUAGUAUCAUGAUUGACAUAAAUAUCACCUAAAAAGCACCCAUUAUUAUCAACAGACAAAAUCUCAACUUGAGCAUCAUGCUGCAACAAGGACUUUGCUAAAGAAAGAGAUUCUUCUGCAAAAGGUUCACCUUUUUCCUGAUCGUUACGAGCAGUGCGAGGAGUUCGAAUACCUGCACAUGCAAACAUAAAAUAGCAGUUUUCUUUAGGGCAAAAGCAACGGAAACGAGACCCACUAAUUACGUUUUCGAUGAUGACAGAAAGCUUACGGGUCCUUUGCAAAGAGGAAAGGUAUUGCCGAGAGCGUAAAGAAGAUUCAGAAGCAUUAACGAUAUUCUCGUAAGCGGGUUUUUUACCAGACCACAUACCCUUGCGUCCUUCUUGAGCGGCCUUUUCAGCUUCUAUAAGAAAAUCAUAAAUGGGUGAACGAUCAACGCUAUCCAUUCGAUAUCUUAUAACUGUAGCGUAUCCACUCUUUACGACCAUUAAAGCAACAUUUGUACCAUCAGAAAGCUUGACAGUACAGUUGUUAAUAGCAGGAAGGUCAUUUUGACCAGGUCGGAUGAAGUCUAGCGAGACCUGAACACGCUUCCCAAUAAUUUUCUUGCGAAGAAACUCGCGAGCUUCCAAUUGGUAAGGGGCUUCCUUUUCAUUUGAAGGUCUGGGAUGACGGAUGCUGCUAAGCUGAAUUCUACACUCCACGCCAUUAUCUUUGCGAACUUCGAGAGUAUCGGUGGAAAUGACCCUGGAUACAACUGCAGAAUAAUCCUUUAACGAGAGAGAAUUGAUAUCAGGGAUAGAGACAGAAAUAUUUUUCCAAAUUCCUAAACGAGAAAUCUUAGCUUUACGUUCAAUGGUCCGUAAACUUUGCAUAGUCUCAGGUCCCAAAGCAGAUAUGUGGUUGUCAGCAACACGUCCCAAUCCAGAGCUUAACAAGAAAGUUGCGAUAUUUCCUGCAGGAUGUAAAACAUUACCCAAAAACGAGACACCGUUUGGAGCUAAAUCGAGAAGUUCAAUUACCACGUUUCUUUGAAGGAGACGAGUGACAACAAACUGCUUAGCUUCAUCACCACAAGGUUCUUGCUCUGAGCUAGUCUGCUCAGGUGAAGUAGCAGUGAAAGUAGAACGAGGGCAUCUAACUCCAGCAAGACUGAUUGUAACCAGUUGAUGUUGCUUGGGGCUCAAAAAUAGUCGAACACGAACUUGGUCUCCAUUGCGGAUGGUUUCAACGAUACCGUUCAGUUUUUUACCUUUAUGGGCCUUUAAAAACUUAGCUGGGUUUGCUGGGUUGGCUUUCUCAGUUACAACAACAUCGUCAGAAGGGCCCCAUAUUCCUAAUUUGUACUGCUGGGCAUGAUCUUGCGCUUCUUCUAGAGAAACAAAAUAGGAGUUCUCAGAAGUACCCUCAUUACGGGUAGCCUCAGGUCUUAAUUUUGCAAGGCCUUCGCGCAAUAACGAUUCAGCCAAGUCAAAUUCAGAAGUACGGAUACGUCCAUACUCGCGUUUCGACGUAGGAAUCACGUACAAAGUAGAAACUGAAGCAGGACGUCCAACAACGAGUCGCCUAGAAAAUUCUUGGGCUUCAAAGGCAAAUGGUUCAUCACCUUCACGACGAAAACGCGGACAUUCUACGUACGCGAGAGAGAACUGUUUCUCUGUAAUUUUUUUGGCAUUAUCUUUUAUUAAAAUAUUAAAACUAUCACCGCUUUGGGCAUAUUUAAUCAUGGACGAUACAUACUGGCUCAUUGUUUACAAUUUUGGGCCUAUGUGGUAGAAGGAAAGUUCUCACGUGGUAAGGUAUGUACAGGGUU